UACGAUUUGAUGCAAGGUUAAGCAGUAAAUGUGGAGCCGUAGCGAAAGCGAGUCUGAAUAGGGCGUUUAGUAUUUGGUCGUAGACCCGAAACCAGGUGAUCUACCCUUGGUCAGGUUGAAGUUCAGGUAACACUGAAUGGAGGACCGAACCGACUUACGUUGAAAAGUGAGCGGAUGAACUGAGGGUAGCGGAGAAAUUCCAAUCGAACCUGGAGAUAGCUGGUUCUCUCCGAAAUAGCUUUAGGGCUAGCCUCAAGUGAUGAUUAUUGGAGGUAGAGCACUGUUUGGACGAGGGGCCCCUCUCGGGUUACCGAAUUCAGACAAACUCCGAAUGCCAAUUAAUUUAACUUGGGAGUCAGAACAUGGGUGAUAAGGUCCGUGUUCGAAAGGGAAACAGCCCAGACCACCAGCUAAGGUCCCAAAAUAUAUGUUAAGUGGAAAAGGAUGUGGCGUUGCCCAGACAACUAGGAUGUUGGCUUAGAAGCAGCCAUCAUUUAAAGAGUGCGUAAUAGCUCACUAGUCGAGUGACACUGCGCCGAAAAUGUACCGGGGCUAAACAUAUUACCGAAGCUGUGGAUUGUCCUUUGGACAAUGGUAGGAGAGCGUUCUAAGGGCGUUGAAGCAUGAUCGUAAGGACAUGUGGAGCGCUUAGAAGUGAGAAUGCCGGUGUGAGUAGCGAAAGACGGGUGAGAAUCCCGUCCACCGAUUGACUAAGGUUUCCAGAGGAAGGCUCGUCCGCUCUGGGUUAGUCGGGUCCUAAGCUGAGGCCGACAGGCGUAGGCGAUGGAUAACAGGUUGAUAUUCCUGUACCACCUAUAAUCGUUUUAAUCGAUGGGGGGACGCAGUAGGAUAGGCGAAGCGUGCGAUUGGAUUGCACGUCUAAGCAGUAAGGCUGAGUAUUAGGCAAAUCCGGUACUCGUUAAGGCUGAGCUGUGAUGGGGAGAAGACAUUGUGUCUUCGAGUCGUUGAUUUCACACUGCCGAGAAAAGCCUCUAGAUAGAAAAUAGGUGCCCGUACCGCAAACCGACACAGGUAGUCAAGAUGAGAAUUCUAAGGUGAGCGAGCGAACUCUCGUUAAGGAACUCGGCAAAAUGACCCCGUAACUUCGGGAGAAGGGGUGCUCUUUAGGGUUAACGCCCAGAAGAGCCGCAGUGAAUAGGCCCAAGCGACUGUUUAUCAAAAACACAGGUCUCUGCUAAACCGUAAGGUGAUGUAUAGGGGCUGACGCCUGCCCGGUGCUGGAAGGUUAAGAGGAGUGGUUAGCUUCUGCGAAGCUACGAAUCGAAGCCCCAGUAAACGGCGGCCGUAACUAUAACGGUCCUAAGGUAGCGAAAUUCCUUGUCGGGUAAGUUCCGACCCGCACGAAAGGCGUAACGAUUUGGGCACUGUCUCAACGAGAGACUCGGUGAAAUCAUAGUACCUGUGAAGAUGCAGGUUACCCGCGACAGGACGGAAAGACCCCGUGGAGCUUUACUGUAGCCUGAUAUUGAAAUUCGGCACAGCUUGUACAGGAUAGGUAGGAGCCUUUGAAACGUGAGCGCUAGCUUACGUGGAGGCGCUGGUGGGAUACUACCCUAGCUGUGUUGGCUUUCUAACCCGCACCACUUAUCGUGGUGGGAGACAGUGUCAGGCGGGCAGUUUGACUGGGGCGGUCGCCUCCUAAAAGGUAACGGAGGCGCUCAAAGGUUCCCUCAGAAUGGUUGGAAAUCAUUCAUAGAGUGUAAAGGCAUAAGGGAGCUUGACUGCGAGACCUACAAGUCGAGCAGGGUCGAAAGACGGACUUAGUGAUCCGGUGGUUCCGCAUGGAAGGGCCAUCGCUCAACGGAUAAAAGCUACCCCGGGGAUAACAGGCUUAUCUCCCCCAAGAGUUCACAUCGACGGGGAGGUUUGGCACCUCGAUGUCGGCUCAUCGCAUCCUGGGGCUGUAGUCGGUCCCAAGGGUUGGGCUGUUCGCCCAUUAAAGCGGUACGCGAGCUGGGUUCAGAACGUCGUGAGACAGUUCGGUCCCUAUCCGUCGUGGGCGUAGGAAAUUUGAGAGGAGCUGUCCUUAGUACGAGAGGACCGGGAUGGACAUACCUCUGGUGUACCAGUUGUCGUGCCAACGGCAUAGCUGGGUAGCUAUGUGUGGACGGGAUAAGUGCUGAAAGCAUCUAAGCAUGAAGCCCCCCUCAAGAUGAGAUUUCCCAACUUCGGUUAUAAGAUCCCUCAAAGAUGAUGAGGUUAAUAGGUUCGAGGUGGAAGCAUGGUGACAUGUGGAGCUGACGAAUACUAAUCGAUCGAAGACUUAAUCAA
rnacentral:rRNA from 1 species